ensembl:lncRNA
CUACCCAACAGUGGAACACAAUACAAACUCAGCUUGAUUUAGUAAUUGCAGUCAUGAUUUAUGUGCAACCGUGUCACUUCACUGAGCAUUGAUUUGAUAGAUAAUGGAAAGCAUGUGCCUGGCUUAUUUGGAAAGUUUAUUUGACACUACAAAUUCUUGAAGGAAUGUGCAGAAACUUCUGAAUAUAUGGGACAAACUCACCUGGUGUAAAUCAGGUGUCUGAAUUGACAAGAGCAGUAAUGGGUAAGGCAGUAAUUAGUAUGCAUAACUAUUUCAAGGUGAGUAAAAUAAAACAGUUCCAGAGCCCAGAGUGUCAUUGAUUUACGCCAGCUGAGGAUAUGGCCCGUAGAACUGACAAGAAAUGGCUAUGCCUACUAAUUACUGAAACUGCUAAUGUAUUUCAGCUGGUACUAACUGGUUUUAUGUCACUGGAAAACUACAGAAGGGCUAGCUAGCUCUUGCAGAUCAGACACCAACCUGGUUGUGAAGUUUUUUUGGUUAAAUGUCCAGAAAAGUGGGGCUGCAGUUUAUGCAAUGACUGUUCUUGUUAGCAUUAAACCCUGACAAGACUUCUCACUAACUUGGGCAUCCUCCUUACAGUUUGCACCGUCUUCUUCACAGAUUGAGGCAGGAUGAAAAGCUGAUUUUUGGGCUAGCCUUCUGGCAUAGUGUGGUUUGGGAUGCUUUUGACACUAUUACAAUUUCAGGUGGUCACUCAGGAAGAAGCAGCUGGUGAGUACAGAACACUUCCAUACUUGGUACUUGCUGUGGUUUGUAAGCAGCAAGAGCUGAAAACGUGUGGGAAGUGCUUCAAAUGGGCUCACACAGUUUCUAAUUUAUGUAGAGGGUAUUGAGGGUUAUACUGCAUGCCAUAUUUUGUCCUGUCAGAUUUAUGUCUCACAUCACUUCAGUCACAGGUAUAUCUUUCCAGGGAUUCAAAUCAUCACUGAAGGUAAAAGCCCUCACAGACAUGAGGACACCGAAGUCCUUCAGAGCACGGCCACAGGAUGUUUUCACCGUCUCCUUCAAGAGAGAUACAUGCAAGGAAAAGCUGAAAUACUUUUCCCAUUGUCCAACAUACAAAACAUGUUGCUGGGGAAGUCCUGGUUACCAAAUGUGUCUGCAGAAUGUGCAGGCACUAGCAGCACUAGAGCAAGCACAAAAGAUUGGCUUUGUCUCCUUUAUUCAUGAUAAAUUCACAUUUUACUUCUUGUGCAUUCGCUGAAGUCAGCAGAGCUCGAAGCAGAGUAUGCAGAUAUUGAUUUUGAAUCCUGGACCAGAAUCUCUCACUCUUCCCAAAUUCCACAUUUUUCAGAAGUGCUGGUCACCAUUCCAACAGCUCUAAAACUGGAUGUUGCAGGUGUCUUGCAUUGACAGCUGCAAUUUUACUGAUGCUGUGCAGCACAGGAUGUCCACUCUCAUUACGUCUCAAGACACAGGAAAUGCAACUCAGUAUCUGAAUGCAUAAGAGAGAAGGAGCCUUUUAAAGUUCAAGGUAAGUGCCAUGAUUUUUAAGUUGCUGGAGGAGAAGAAGAGAGCAUUUAAUGGAUCCUUUACUUAAUUUUGAAACUUGCCUUUUAUUUUUAAUGCUUCCUACAGGAUUCAAGAAGCCUGUUGACACCAGUACACGCUGGUAUAUAAAAAUCAAUUACAGAAUUUAAUACUUACGUCUGCUGACUUCCAACCCCACAAAAGCCUGCACUGAGGAGGUUCAGAAAUUAGAAGUGAAGAACUGCCAGGCACUUAGAUUCUUUUUGUGAAGACUGACUGAAGAGAAGCAUGCAAAACACAAGAAUCAGAAUGAGUUGCUACACAAAUGAUAAACAAAAUAAAAAUAUGUUGAGAAAUAUACA